rnacentral:RNase_P_RNA from 1 species
CUUAGUCAGAGGAAAGUCCGGACUCCGAAUGGCGGUGUAAGGGGUAACGCCCCUCCGGUGAAAACCGAGGACUAGUGGAACAGAGAGAAUGUCCAGGACUAUGAUCUUUCUAGCGGGAACGGGAGCUAGAUUGGGAGUUGCUGGAGUGAAAGCAGCUAAACUCUACACGGAGCAAGAUCAAAUAGGGAAGCGUUUAAGUACGGCCAGUAUGAGGCUUCCGGGUUGAUCGCUUGAGGGAUAUAGCAAUGUAUCUCCUAGACGAAUAUUUGCCUCGCAAGUUUUCUUGGCAAAAACUUGUCAGACAGAAUCCGGCUUACCAGC